rnacentral:rRNA from 1 species
AGAUGAGUUCUCCCUGACUCCCUGAGAGUCCUGAAGGAACGUUUAAGACGACGACGUUGAUAGGCCGGGUGUGUAAGCGCAGCGAUGCGUUGAGCUAACCGGUACUAAUGAACCGUGAGGCUUAACCUU